rnacentral:rRNA from 1 species
GACAGGAGGGGCUAGCGUUCGUCGGAAUCAUUGGGCGUAAAGAGCGUGUAGGCGGCCAGGUAGGUCUGCUGUGAAAACUCGAGGCUUAACCUCGAGAUGUCGGCGGAAACCAUCUGGCUAGAGUCCGGAAGAGGAGAGUGGAAUUCCUGGUGUAGCGGUGAAAUGCGCAGAGUAUCAGGAAGAACACCCGUGGCGAAGGCGGCUCUCUGGGACGGUACUGACGCUGAGACGCGAAAGCGUGGGGAGCGAACAGG